UGAAAUUUUCUUCAAGAUAGCUGGAGUACAUAAUGAAGCUGUUAUAUUCGGUAAAGCGAAUGAUUGGAAGAAUUGUGGGAUGAAACGUCUUCAACCUCUUCUCAAACCUUCAAUGAGUAUGACAUCUUGCUUGCUUGAAUGAAGCAUAGACAUUGGUGGUGUACGCCAUGUAGACCAUUUUUGGUAAGCGGGAUUGUCGCACAAUGAGAUAUUAAUGUAGCGCUGAUGGAUCAUGGACUAUGAACGAUGAGAAAUCGUAUAUUCUCUUUUGGAAAAUUUAUUCAUUUCAAAAAUUAG
rnacentral:ncRNA from 1 species